rnacentral:rRNA from 1 species
CCUACGGGAGGCAGCAGUCGGGAAUUUUGCGCAAUGGGCGAAAGCCUGACGCAGCAACGCCGCGUGAGGGAUGAAGGCCUUCGGGUUGUAAACCUCUUUUCUCAGGGAAGAUAAUGACGGUACCUGAGGAAUAAGUCACGGCUAACUACGUGCCAGCAGCCGCGGUAAU